GUCUUUUUGAGUUAUUUUUAAAGUCUGACCUGCCCACUGAAUUUUUAAAUGGCCGCAGUAUUCUAACUGUGCAAAGGUAGCAUAAUCAUUAGUCUUUUAAUUGAAGGCUGGUAUGAACGGUUGGACGAAGUAUAAGCUGUUUCAUAUAAAUUUAUAGUAGAAUUUUAUAUUUUAGUCAAAAAGCUAAAAUGUAGUUAAAAGACGAGAAGACCCUAUAAAUCUUUAUAUUUUAUGUAAUUUAAGUUUUUUGGAUUUAUUUUAUUUUUAUUAUAUUAAAUAUUUUGUUGGGGUGAUGUUAAAAUUUGAUUAACUUUUAAUUUUUUAAAAUCAUUAAUUUAUGAGUUAUUGAUCCAUUAGUAGUGAUUAUAAGAUUAAGUUACUUUAGGGAUAACAGCGUAAUUUUUUUGGAGAGUUCUUAUCGAUAAAAAAGUUUGCGACCUCGAUGUUGGAUUAAGAUAUAUUUUUAGGUGUAGCCGCUUAAAUAUUAAGUCUGUUCGACUUUUAAAUUCUU
rnacentral:rRNA from 1 species